rnacentral:lncRNA from 1 species
AAGGAUUUUAUGCAUACUUGUGAGUAUGUAAUACUGUCUUCAUGGUUUGAUGUAUGAUUGUUCCAAUUAUUGUUGUCAUCUGUAUAAGCUUCCCAGCGAGAAAUGGAAAUGCAUGUGUCCAAAAUCAUGGAUCCCUGAAGAUCAUUGGACCAAAAUAUGCGCGUUAGCAAUACGAGUCUCAUAUUUAGAUGCUGAACUUAAACAUUCCAUGAACAAAACACAAUCAUUUUCUUCAUCAAAGUAAAACAAAAUGUAAAAAUAUUCCACAUCUAUGUUACAUUUCUACUGAUGUUAACUUUCUACCAAAAAACAAAAAACUUUUCUACUGAUGUUAACUUGUCCU